rnacentral:tRNA from 1 species
GGGAGUGUAGCUCAGUGGUAAGGUAUCUGCCUAGCAAACAUAAGGCUCUGGGUUGGAUCCCCAGCACUAUCA